rnacentral:rRNA from 1 species
UACGUAGGGGGCUAGCGUUGUCCGGAAUCAUUGGGCGUAAAGAGCGCGUAGGCGGCCAGAUAAGUCCGGUGUGAAAGUCACAGGCUCAACCUGUGAAUGCCGCUGGAAACUGUCUGGCUAGAGUCCGGGAGGGGCGAGUGGAAUUCCUGGUGUAGCGGUGAAAUGCGUAGAUAUCAGGAGGAAUACCGGCGGCGAAGGCGGCCCUCUGGAUCGUUGCUGACGCUGAGACGCGAAAGCGUGGGGAGCAAACAGG